CAGACAGACGACACUGAUAUUGACAUCAUGAUUCGUGAAGCAAAACGCAAAUUUUAUGGAAGAUAUGAGAUGCAGCUAGAACAAUGUAGGAUAUCUUCAAUCUAGGACACUAAAGACAAGAUGGGUAAGAAUUCAACUUUAAAAUUUUAUUCGAUUAACAUUUCACGAAGGAUUUUUAAAUGCCAUUUCCAAAAUUAUCCACAGGACUCAGCUGGGAGUUUGAAAUCCUAUCAAUAACGGGGUAAACAUACACCAAACUUGAAUAUCACAGUAGAGCUUCACUCGAAUCAAUCUUCUGUGAUUUAUCCAGUUUGACAUGCUUUUUCUUCUUCUCUAAGUAAAUUCCUCCGCAACGGAGCACCCGUGUCACACGAAAUUAAGUUAAGGUUCAUCAUAAGGAAUUGAAAAAUAUGGCCGUGUUUACACCUCCAAAAUUACUAUGAGUACAGACAAACUGGUACAUCCAGGAAAGUUUUAAGGCAUGGCAGGAACACAAUUUUGUCAUGAAUCCAUUUGUGUCCAUUGUUUAAUAUUCACAUAGACCAAGGUGAGCGACACAGGCUCUUUAGAGCCUCUAGUUGAUUAUUGGCCCAGUUUUCAAGUUGGUCCAAAUCAGGAUCCAAAAUUAUUAUAUUAAGUUUUGUGCAAUAGCAAGAAAUUUUCAAUUGCACAGUAUUCAGCAAUAGCAAGAAAUCUUCAAUUGCACAGUAUUGCGCAAUAGCAAGAAAUCUUCAAUUGCACAGUAUUGUGCAAUAGGUGUCAGACCACCAAUUACUCCCUCCAAUUUAGAACGUAAAAGUAGUCCUACUUUGACACAAAAUAGUGCUUUUGAUGUCAUUGUUUACUUAAACUAACCAACAAAUUUGCAGAAAUGAAACUUAUGGUGAAAGGGAAAUAUAUUUAGACCAUUUUGAGCCAAAAUUCACUUGUCUAUGAGUUUGCAUUAAAAAUUCAUGAUUAGUGCGCUCCAUAGUACACUAAUUUAAGAUUUCCAGAAAACCAGGAGUUAUUUUGGUAGUACCUGUCUUUUCAAAAUCAGAAAUUUGUUACAAGACUUUAAACAUUGGUUGAAAAUUGGCAUAUAGGAAGGUGAUACGUGUACAAUUCAGGAUAUACCUGGUUACCUUGAAGUUAAACUUGAGGUAAAAUAUUUAGAAAGCUGUGAAAAUUGCAAAAUUUGGUUGAACAGAUAGGGAUUUUUAAUUGGUGGUCUGACACCUUUAAGGGAAAUGCGUUGAAACCCCAAAUUCAGAAAACAAUUGAUUUUUUGUUCUUAACUGAUCAUAUGAAGUGAUAGUAGUCACAUUUCAAUCUUGUUGGGGGCAAAAAGUCACAUAUUGCAAAUUUAGAGCCUUAGACCUGAAUUUGUGCUAUUUUUAGCUUUUCCCACCCUGACAAUAUGCUUUCACAUAAAAAAAUGUCCCAAAUUGUUAUAAAUGCACAGCAAGAUGUUUCUGUGGUAUUAACAUUAAAACAUGGUUAUUUUACCACCAAACAAUAGCAAGUAUUUUCAAUUGCACAGUAUUGCGCAAUAGCAAGAAAUAUCUAAUUGCACAAUAUUGCGCAAUAGCAAGAAAUUUUCAAUUAGAGUUAUCUUUCUUUGUCCAGAAUAGUAGUUGAAUCAACUUAAAUCAUUGUUUUAUACAAAAUACAAUGUAUAUAUUCACUUUUACUACCAACUGAUAAAUUAAAACAAUCUUUACCAUUCAGUGAUAACAAGCACUUUUUAUACGACCGCAAAAUUUGAAAAUUUUUUCGUCGUAUAUUGCUAUCACGUUGGCGUCGUCGUCCGAAUACUUUUAGUUUUCGCACUCUAACUUUAGUAAAAGUGAAUGGAAAUCUAUGAAAUUUAACACAAGGUUUAUGACCACAAAAGGAAGGUUGGUAUUGAUUUUGGGAGUUUUGGUCCCAAAAUUUUAGGAAUUAGGGGCCAAAAAAGGGCCCAAAUAAGCAUUUUUCUUGGUUUUCGCACCAUAACGUUAGUAUAAGUAAAUAGAAAUCUAUGAAAUUUAAACACAAGGUUUAUGACCAUAAAAGGAAGGUUGGUAUUGAUUUUGGGAGUUUUGGUCCCAACAGAAUAAGGGGCCCAAAGGGUCCAAAAUUAAACUUUGUUUGAUUUCAUCCAAAUUGAAUAAUUGGGGUUCUUUGAUAUGCCGAAUCUAACUGUCAUGACUGUGUAUGUAGAUUCUUAACUUUUGGUCCCGUUUUCAAAUUGGUCUACAUUAAGGUCCAAAGGGUCCAAAAUUAAACUUAGUUUGAUUUUGACAAAAAAUGAAUCAGUUAGGUUCUUUGAUAUGCUGAAUCUAAAAAUGUACUUAGAUUCUUGAUUAUUGGCCCAGUUUUCAAGUUGGUCCAAAUCGGGGUCCAAAAUUAAACUUUGUUUGAUUUCAUCAAAAAAUGAAUAAAUGGGGUUCUUUGAUAUACCAAAUCUAACUGUGUAUGUAGAUUCUUCAUUUUUGGUCCUGUUUUCAAAUUGGUCUACACUAAAGUCCAAAGGUCCAAAAUUAAACUUAGUCUGAUUUUAACAAAAAUUGAAAUCUUGGGGUUCUUUGAUAUGCUGAAUCCAAAAAUGUACUUAGAUAUUUUAUUAUGGGCCCAGUUUUCAAGUUGGUCCAAAUCAGGAUCUAAAAUUAUUAUAUUAAGUAUUGUGCAAUAGCAAGUCUUUUCAAUUGCACAGUAUUGCGCAAUGGCAAGAAAUAUCUAAUUGCACAAUAUUGUGAAAUAGCAAAUUUUUUUUUAAUUAGAGUUAUCUUUCUUUGUCCAGAAUAGUAAGCAAGAAAUAUCUAAUUGCAAAAUAUUGUGCAAUAACAAGAUUUUUUUUUAAUUGGAGUUAUCUUUCUUUGUCCAGAAUCAACUUAAAUCUUUGUUAUAUACAAUAUACAAUGUAUAUUCACUUUUUUACUACCAACUGAUAAAUUAAAAUAAUCUUUACCAUUCAGUGAUAACAAGCAGUUUUUUUACAUCUUAAUAUUUUAUGAUGUAUUUAAAUGAGUAGUUAUUGUUGCAAACUCCAUUAGAAAUUUUAAUUGAGAUUAGUUUUGGAAUAAGGGAAAGGGGGAUGUGAUUAAAAAAAUUGGGUUCAAUUUUUCUCAUUUGAAAUUUCAUAAAUAAAAAAGAAAAUUUCUUCAAACAUUUUUUUGAGAGGAUUAAUAUUCAACAGCAUAGUGAAUUGCUCUAAGAGAAAACAAAAUUUUUAAGUUCAUUAGAACACAUUCAUUCUGUGUCAGAAACCUAUGCUGUGUCAACUAUUUAAUCACUAUCCAAAUUUAGAGCUGAAUCCAGCUUGAAUGUUGUGUCCAUACUUGCCCCAACCGUUCAGGGUUCAACCUCUGCGGUCGUAUAAAGCUACGCCCUGCGGAGCAUCUGGUUUACAUUUUAAUAUUUUAUGAUGUAUUUAAAUGAGUAGUUAUUGUUUCCAAAAAAAUUGAAUUGAGAUCAGUUUUGGAAUAAGGGAAAGGGGGAUGUGAAAAAAAAAGUUGGUGGGGGGGUUUCAAUUUUUCUCAUUUCAGAUUUCAUAAAUAAAUAGAAAAUUUCUUCAAACAUUUUUUUGAGAGGAUUAAUAUUCAACAGCAUAGUGAAUUGCUCAAAGGCAAAAAAAAAAUUUUAAGUUCAUUAGACUACAUUCAUUCUGUGUCGGAAACCUAUGCUGUGUCAACUAUUUAAUCACAAUCCAAAUUUAGAGCUGAAUCCAGCUUGAAUGUUGUGUCCAUACUUGCCCCAACUGUUCAGGGUUCAACCUCUGCGGUAUUAUAAAGCUGGUUAUCAUUAUACUAUGGUUUGUUUUAAUACAAAAAUGUAUAUAAAAUAUUAAUACAACUGUUCAAAAUAUAUAGCAUAUUCCCUCAACCAAUAUAGUGAGUUCAGUAUAAUAUACACUUCUUAGUUUUAUUAUUUGAUUGACAUGAAUUGUUCAUACUGAUAUCUGAAAUAUUUGCCACUGAGACAUUAUGCAGACUGCCUUAUGUAGGCAUUAAAUAUUUAAGGGACUGUUGGUCCAUCUUUCAGUAUUACAUUGGAUGAUGAUUCAAUUUUUGUUUCCUUGUGUUAACUUUAGUUUGCAAUUGCCUCAUGCAAAGGAUUAGGUCCAGUAAGACCCCUUUUUGGCCACAAAUAUAGCAGUUUUACAAAAUUGUUUAAAUGUAAACUUCUAGUUAUUCAUCGUAAAGUAGAAUGCUACUGCAACAUAAAUGUAGGCUGUUUUCAACAAUACCACGCACAUAUAUCGGGUACUAGAAUCAUUAAGUCAUGCUAAAUUACUGAAAUCUUCACAAUUUUAGAAUUUUAGUUAAAUUUUAGACCUUUUUUUGUCUUGAAUGAAAGUGGCCGCAUUGGUGUCCAUUCUUAAAAAUAUUGAAAAGUAAGUUGUAUUUGAUGAUAACACAUAACAUAUAUAAAGGUUGAGGAUGAACACGAAUCAGCCAUUUCAAUUAAUAUUUUAUAGUGUGUCUUUCUAUGUUGUGAUGUUACACUAUUGUUUCAGAUAAGGAUGAAGGUUUGGUACCAUUUAAAAGUUUAAACCCCCUGCAAUUGUGUGUCACCUGUCCUUAGUCAGGAAUCUGAUGUUUAGUAGUUUUCGUUUGUUGAUGUAGUAACUAAUUAAGUUUAUAAGUUUUUCUCGUUUCUUCUUUUUAUACGCCCAUUUAUGCGAGUACAUAUGUAUUAUGGUAUACCGUUGUCUGUCUGUCCAUGGUCAACAUGUUGGACAUUAACUCAUAAAUGCUUAAACCAUUUUGCAUAAAACUUCAGUGAAUUGUUUAUAUCUAUUGACAUGAGCUGCUUUUCAUUUUUUAUAAGGUUUAGAUUUUAAGUUUCUGAGUAACAGGGUUGUUCAUAAAAAAAAGGUGAUUUUCCAGUUUUUAGUCAAUAACUCAAGAAUGUUUUCUCCUACUUGCAAGAAAUUUUGGUGUACUUUUUAUAUCUAUUGACAUGAACUCCCUUUCAUUUUUUAUAAAUUUUAAAUUUCUGAGUUACCAGGUUUUAUAUUCAUAAAAAAGGGUGUUUUUCCAGUUUUCAGUCAAUUUCUCCAGAAUGUUUUCUUUUUCUUCAAUUCUUGCAAGAAAUUUUGGUAAAUUGUUUAUAUCUUUUGACAUGAGAUCCCUUACAAUUUUAUAAUUUUAGAUAUUGGGUUUUUGAGUUACCGGAUUUUAUUCAUAAAAAGAUGGGGAAUUUUCCCAGUUUUCGGACAAUAACUCAAAAAUACUUUCAGCAGCUGUUCUCGUGAAACUUUUGUGAAUUGUUUAUAGCUUUGAUGGAAGCUCCCUUUAGAAUUUUAAAAUAUUAGAUUUUACAUUUCAGAGUUAUGGCAUGGGGUUUUAUUCAUUUAAUAAAGGGAAUUUCCAGUUUUGGACAAUAACUCAAAAAUGCUUGCAGCAAUUCUCAUUGGAUCGUUUUACUCUAGUAGUAAUUUUUUGGGCCCUUUAUAGCUUGCUGUGCAUUGUGAGCCAAAGCUCUAUGUUGAAGACUGUACUUUGACCUUUAAUGGUUUUACUUUUACAUGUUUUAUAAAUUGUGACUUGGAUGAAGAGUUGUCUCAUUGGCACUCAUACCACAUCUUCUUAUAUCUAUCAUCUUCAUUUUGGCUUUCACAUGAACACAUGUGUCUGUAAUUGUAAAGUAAUAUGAAAAUAGUUUCUGUAAAAUUUUUAUGAAAUGGAUUUCUUUUUAUCCUAUAGGCUAGUUAUCAAAUUUGACCUCCCCUAGUAUGUCAGGAAGGUACAUGUACAUGGAUGUUUAAAAAAUUCCACAAAUGGUGAAGAAAAUGGCAAGGGAAGACGCCUAGUAAAUGUUUCAAGUACAAUUCAGCAAUGGUAAGUAUAUUUUUU
rnacentral:lncRNA from 1 species